rnacentral:rRNA from 1 species
CGUGCUUAACACAUGCAAGUCGAGCGGUAAGGCCUUUCGGGGUACACGAGCGGCGAACGGGUGAGUAACACGUGGGUGAUCUGCCCUGCACUCUGGGAUAAGCUUGGGAAACUGGGUCUAAUACCGGAUAUGACUGCAUGCCGCAUGGUGUGUGGUGGAAAGAUUUAUCGGUGCAGGAUGGGCCCGCGGCCUAUCAGCUUGUUGGUGGGGUAAUGGCCUACCAAGGCGACGACGGGUAGCCGACCUGAGAGGGUGACCGGCCACACUGGGACUGAGACACGGCCCAGACUCCUACGGGAGGCAGCAGUGGGGAAUAUUGCACAAUGGGCGGAAGCCUGAUGCAGCGACGCCGCGUGAGGGAUGAAGGCCUUCGGGUUGUAAACCUCUUUCAGCAGGGACGAAGCGUGAGUGACGGUACCUGCAGAAGAAGCACCGGCUAACUACGUGCCAGCAGCCGCGGUAAUACGUAGGGUGCGAGCGUUGUCCGGAAUUACUGGGCGUAAAGAGUUCGUAGGCGGUUUGUCGCGUCGUUUGUGAAAACCCGGGGCUCAACUUCGGGCUUGCAGGCGAUACGGGCAGACUUGAGUGUUUCAGGGGAGACUGGAAUUCCUGGUGUAGCGGUGAAAUGCGCAGAUAUCAGGAGGAACACCGGUGGCGAAGGCGGGUCUCUGGGAAACAACUGACGCUGAGGAACGAAAGCGUGGGUAGCAAACAGGAUUAGAUACCCUGGUAGUCCACGCCGUAAACGGUGGGCGCUAGGUGUG